AGAGUUUGAUCCUGGCUCAGAACGAACGCUGGCGGCAUGCCUCAUACAUGCAAGUCGAACGCAAGGCUUCGGCCUUGAGUGGCGCACGGGUGAGUAACGCGUGGGAACCUACCCUUCUGUGGGGGAUAACCGAGGGAAACUUCGGCUAAUACCGCAUACGCCGGGAAACCGGGAAAGAUUUAUCGCUGAAGGAUGGGCCCGCGUCGGAUUAGCUAGUUGGUGGGGUAAUGGCCUACCAAGGCUUUGAUCCGUAGCUGGUCUGAGAGGAUGAUCAGCCACACUGGGACUGAGACACGGCCCAGACUCCUACGGGAGGCAGCAGUAGGGAAUAUUGGACAAUGGGCGAAAGCCUGAUCCAGCAAUGCCGCGUGAGUGAGGAAGGCCUUAGGGUUGUAAA
rnacentral:rRNA from 1 species